rnacentral:rRNA from 1 species
UGAGGAAUAUUGGUCAAUGGGCGGGAGCCUGAACCAGCCAAGCCGCGUGAGGGAGGAAGGCCCUAUGGGUCGUAAACCUCUUUUGUCAGGGAACAAAAGCGAGUAUGUAUACUAGUCUGAGUGUACCUGAAGAAAAAGCAUCGGCUAACUUCGUGCCAGCAGCCGCGGUAAUACGGAGGAUGCGAGCGUUAUCCGGAUUUAUUGGGUUUAAAGGGUGCGUAGGCGGCGGUGCAAGUCAGCGGUAAAAGCCCGGGGCUCAACCCCGGCGAGCCGUUGAAACUGCAGUGCUAGAGAAGGCGAGAGGUACGCGGAAUGCGCAGUGUAGCGGUGAAAUGCUUAGAUAUUGCGCAGAACUCCGAUUGCGAAGGCAGCGUACUGGCGCCUGACUGACGCUGAGGCACGAAAGCGUGGGGAUCGAACAGGAUUAGAUACCC